GAUGAACGCUGGCGGCGUGCCUAAUACAUGCAAGUCGAGCGAACAGACGAGGAGCUUGCUCCUCUGACGUUAGCGGUGGACGGGUGAGUAACACGUGGAUAACCUACCUAUAAGACUGGGAUAACUUCGGGAAACCGGAGCUAAUACCGGAUAAUAUAUUGAACCGCAUGGUUCAAUAGUGAAAGACGGUUUUGCUGUCACUUAUAGAUGGAUCCGCGCCGCAUUAGCUAGUUGGUAAGGUAACGGCUUACCAAGGCAACGAUGCGUAGCCGACCUGAGAGGGUGAUCGGCCACACUGGAACUGAGACACGGUCCAGACUCCUACGGGAGGCAGCAGUAGGGAAUCUUCCGCAAUGGGCGAAAGCCUGACGGAGCAACACCGCGUGAGUGAUGAAGGUCUUCGGAUCGUAAAACUCUGUUAUUAGGGAAGAACAAAUGUGUAAGUAACUAUGCACGUCUUGACGGUACCUAAUCAGAAAGCCACGGCUAACUACGUG
rnacentral:rRNA from 1 species